AUUGAACGCUGGCGGCAGGCUUAGCACAUGCAAGUCGAGCGGGGGAAGGUAGCUUGCUACCGGACCUAGCGGCGGACGGGUGAGUAAUGCUUAGGAAUCUGCCUAUUAGUGGGGGACAACAUCUCGAAAGGGAUGCUAAUACCGCAUACGUCCUACGGGAGAAAGCAGGGGAUCUUCGGACCUUGCGCUAAUAGAUGAGCAUAAGUCGGAUUAGGUAGUUGGUGGGGUAUAGGCCUACCAAGGCGACGAUCUGUAGCGGGUCUGAGAGGAUGGUCCGCCACACUGGGACUGAGACACGGCCCAGACUCCUACGGGAGGCAGCAGUGGGGAAUAUUGGACAAUGGGGGGAACCCUGAUCCAGCCAUGCCGCGUGUGUGAAGAAGGCCUUAUGGUUGUAAAGCACUUUAAGCGAGGAGGAGGCUACUCUAGUUAAUACCUAGGGAUAGUGGACGUUACUCGCAGAAUAAGCACCGGCUAACUCUGUGCCAGCAGCCGCCGUAA
rnacentral:rRNA from 1 species